rnacentral:rRNA from 1 species
GGUUAAGCGACUAAGCGUACACGGUGGAUGCCCUGGCAGUCAGAGGCGAUGAAGGACGUGCUAAUCUGCGAUAAGCGUCGGUAAGGUGAUAUGAACCGUUAUAACCGGCGAUUUCCGAAUGGGGAAACCCAGUGUGUUUCGACACACUAUCAUUAACUGAAUCCAUAGGUUAAUGAGGCGAACCGGGGGAACUGAAACAUCUAAGUACCCCGAGGAAAAGAAAUCAACCGAGAUUCCCCCAGUAGCGGCGAGCGAACGGGGAGCAGCCCAGAGCCUGAAUCAGUGUGUGUGUUAGUGGAAGCGUCUGGAAAGGCGCGCGAUACAGGGUGACAGCCCCGUACACAAAAAUGCACAUGCUGUGAGCUCGAUGAGUAGGGCGGGACACGUGGUAUCCUGUCUGAAUAUGGGGGGACCAUCCUCCAAGGCUAAAUACUCCUGACUGACCGAUAGUGAACCAGUACCGUGAGGGAAAGGCGAAAAGAACCCCGGCGAGGGGAGUGAAAAAAGAACCUGAAACCGUGUACGUACAAGCAGUGGGAGCACGCUUAGGCGUGUGACUGCGUACCUUUUGUAUAAUGGGUCAGCGACUUAUAUUCUGUAGCAAGGUUAACCGAAUAGGGGAGCCGAAGGGAAACCGAGUCUUAACUGGGCGUUAAGUUGCAGGGUAUAGACCCGAAACCCGGUGAUCUAGCCAUGGGCAGGUUGAAGGUUGGGUAACACUAACUGGAGGACCGAACCGACUAAUGUUGAAAAAUUAGCGGAUGACUUGUGGCUGGGGGUGAAAGGCCAAUCAAACCGGGAGAUAGCUGGUUCUCCCCGAAAGCUAUUUAGGUAGCGCCUCGUGAAUUCAUCUCCGGGGGUAGAGCACUGUUUCGGCAAGGGGGUCAUCCCGACUUACCAACCCGAUGCAAACUGCGAAUACCGGAGAAUGUUAUCACGGGAGACACACGGCGGGUGCUAACGUCCGUCGUGAAGAGGGAAACAACCCAGACCGCCAGCUAAGGUCCCAAAGUCAUGGUUAAGUGGGAAACGAUGUGGGAAGGCCCAGACAGCCAGGAUGUUGGCUUAGAAGCAGCCAUCAUUUAAAGAAAGCGUAAUAGCUCACUGGUCGAGUCGGCCUGCGCGGAAGAUGUAACGGGGCUAAACCAUGCACCGAAGCUGCGGCAGCGACGCUUAUGCGUUGUUGGGUAGGGGAGCGUUCUGUAAGCCUGCGAAGGUGUGCUGUGAGGCAUGCUGGAGGUAUCAGAAGUGCGAAUGCUGACAUAAGUAACGAUAAAGCGGGUGAAAAGCCCGCUCGCCGGAAGACCAAGGGUUCCUGUCCAACGUUAAUCGGGGCAGGGUGAGUCGACCCCUAAGGCGAGGCCGAAAGGCGUAGUCGAUGGGAAACAGGUUAAUAUUCCUGUACUUGGUGUUACUGCGAAGGGAGGACGGAGAAGGCUAUGUUGGCCGGGCGACGGUUGUCCCGGUUUAAGCGUGUAGGCUGGUUUUCCAGGCAAAUCCGGAAAAUCAAGGCUGAGGCGUGAUGACGAGGCACUACGGUGCUGAAGCAACAAAUGCCCUGCUUCCAGGAAAAGCCUCUAAGCAUCAGGUAACAUCAAAUCGUACCCCAAACCGACACAGGUGGUCAGGUAGAGAAUACCAAGGCGCUUGAGAGAACUCGGGUGAAGGAACUAGGCAAAAUGGUGCCGUAACUUCGGGAGAAGGCACGCUGAUAUGUAGGUGAAGUCCCUCGCGGAUGGAGCUGAAAUCAGUCGAAGAUACCAGCUGGCUGCAACUGUUUAUUAAAAACACAGCACUGUGCAAACACGAAAGUGGACGUAUACGGUGUGACGCCUGCCCGGUGCCGGAAGGUUAAUUGAUGGGGUUAGCCGCAAGGCGAAGCUCUUGAUCGAAGCCCCGGUAAACGGCGGCCGUAACUAUAACGGUCCUAAGGUAGCGAAAUUCCUUGUCGGGUAAGUUCCGACCUGCACGAAUGGCGUAAUGAUGGCCAGGCUGUCUCCACCCGAGACUCAGUGAAAUUGAACUCGCUGUGAAGAUGCAGUGUACCCGCGGCAAGACGGAAAGACCCCGUGAACCUUUACUAUAGCUUGACACUGAACAUUGAGCCUUGAUGUGUAGGAUAGGUGGGAGGCUUAGAAGUGUGGACGCCAGUCUGCAUGGAGCCGACCUUGAAAUACCACCCUUUAAUGUUUGAUGUUCUAACGUUGACCCGUAAUCCGGGUUGCGGACAGUGUCUGGUGGGUAGUUUGACUGGGGCGGUCUCCUCCUAAAGAGUAACGGAGGAGCACGAAGGUUGGCUAAUCCUGGUCGGACAUCAGGAGGUUAGUGCAAUGGCAUAAGCCAGCUUGACUGCGAGCGUGACGGCGCGAGCAGGUGCGAAAGCAGGUCAUAGUGAUCCGGUGGUUCUGAAUGGAAGGGCCAUCGCUCAACGGAUAAAAGGUACUCCGGGGAUAACAGGCUGAUACCGCCCAAGAGUUCAUAUCGACGGCGGUGUUUGGCACCUCGAUGUCGGCUCAUCACAUCCUGGGGCUGAAGUAGGUCCCAAGGGUAUGGCUGUUCGCCAUUUAAAGUGGUACGCGAGCUGGGUUUAGAACGUCGUGAGACAGUUCGGUCCCUAUCUGCCGUGGGCGCUGGAGAACUGAGGGGGGCUGCUCCUAGUACGAGAGGACCGGAGUGGACGCAUCACUGGUGUUCGGGUUGUCAUGCCAAUGGCACUGCCCGGUAGCUAAAUGCGGAAGAGAUAAGUGCUGAAAGCAUCUAAGCACGAAACUUGCCCCGAGAUGAGUUCUCCCUGACUCCUUGAGAGUCCUGAAGGAACGUUGAAGACGACGACGUUGAUAGGCCGGGUGUGUAAGCGCAGCGAUGCGUUGAGCUAACCGGUACUAAUGAACCGUGAGGCUUAACCUU